rnacentral:rRNA from 1 species
CCUGCUUGCGAGGGUACUCGAGUGGCGAACGGGUGAGUAACACGUGGGUGAUCUGCCCUGCACUUCGGGAUAAGCCUGGGAAACUGGGUCUAAUACCGGAUAGGAGCCAUUUUUAGUGUGAUGGUUGGAAAGUUUUUUCGGUGUAGGAUGAGCUCGCGGCCUAUCAGCUUGUUGGUGGGGUAAUGGCCUACCAAGGCGGCGACGGGUAGCCGGCCUGAGAGGGUGGACGGCCACAUUGGGACUGAGAUACGGCCCAGACUCCUACGGGAGGCAGCAGUGGGGAAUAUUGCACAAUGGGCGCAAGCCUGAUGCAGCGACGCCGCGUGGGGGAUGACGGCCUUCGGGUUGUAAACUCCUUUCGCUAGGGACGAAGCUUUUUGUGACGGUACCUAGAUAAGAAGCACCGGCUAACUACGUGCCAGCAGCCGCGGUAAUACGUAGGGUGCGAGCGUUGUCCGGAAUUACUGGGCGUAAAGGGCUCGUAGGUGGUUUGUCGCGCCGUCUGUGAAAUUCCGGGGCUUAACUCCGGGCGUGCAGGCGAUACGGGCAUAACCUUGAGUACUGUAGGGGUAACUGGAAUUCCUUGGUGUAGCGGUGAAAUGCGCGGAUAUCAGGAGGACACCGAUGGCGAAGGCAGGUUACUGGGCAGUUACUGACGCUGAGGAGCGAAAGCAUGGGUAGCGAACAGGAUUAGAUACCCUGGUAGUCCAUGCCGUAAACGGUGGGCGCUAGGUGUGAGGGUCUUUUCACGACUUUCGUGCCGUAGCUAACGCAUUAAGCGCCCCGCCUGGGGAGUACGCCGCAAGGUUG